GGGACCAUAGCUCAGCGGUAGAGCACCCGGCUCUUAACCGGGCGGUCGAGGGUUCGAGCCCCUCUGGUCCCG
rnacentral:tRNA from 1 species